UACGUAGGGUGCAAGCGUUACUCGGAAUUACUGGGCGUAAAGCGUGCGCAGGCGGUUGUGCAAGACCGAUGUGAAAUCCCCGGGCUUAACCUGGGAAUGGCAUUGGUGACUGCACGGCUAGAGUGUGUCAGAGGGGGGUAGAAUUCCACGUGUAGCAGUGAAAUGCGUAGAGAUGUGGAGGAAUACCGAUGGCGAAGGCAGCCCCCUGGGAUAACACUGACGCUCAUGCACGAAAGCGUGGGUAGCAAACAGG
rnacentral:rRNA from 1 species